rnacentral:rRNA from 1 species
ACGAACUCUUCGGAGUUAGUGGCGCACGGGUGCGUAACGCGUGGGAAUCUGCCCUUGGGUACGGAAUAACUCAGAGAAAUUUGUGCUAAUACCGUAUAAUGUCUUCGGACCAAAGAUUUAUCGCCCAAGGAUGAGCCCGCGUAAGAUUAGCUAGUUGGUGGGGUAAAAGCCUACCAAGGCGACGAUCUUUAGCUGGUCUGAGAGGAUGAUCAGCCACACUGGGACUGAGACACGGCCCAGACUCCUACGGGAGGCAGCAGUGGGGAAUAUUGGACAAUGGGCGAAAGCCUGAUCCAGCAAUGCCGCGUGAGUGAUGAAGGCCUUAGGGUUGUAAAGCUCUUUUACCCGGGAUGAUAAUGACAGUACCGGGAGAAUAAGCUCCGGCUAACUCCGUGCCAGCAGCCGCGGUAAUACGGAGGGAGCUAGCGUUGUUCGGAAUUACUGGGCGUAAAGCGCGCGUAGGCGGUUUUUUAAGUCAGAGGUGAAAGCCCAGUGCUCAACACUGGAACUGCCUUUGAAACUGGAAAACUUGAAUCUUGGAGAGGUCAGUGGAAUUCCGAGUGUAGAGGUGAAAUUCGUAGAUAUUCGGAAGAACACCAGUGGCGAAGGUGACUGACUGGACAAGUAUUGACGCUGAGGUGCGAAAGCGUAGGGAGCAAACAGGAUUAGAUACCCUGGUAGUCCACGCCGUAAACGAUGAUAACUAGCUGUCCGGGUUCAUAGAACUUGGGUGGCGCAGCUAACGCAUUAAG